rnacentral:rRNA from 1 species
AUUGAACGCUGGCGGCAGGCCUAACACAUGCAAGUCGAGCGAGCGGCGGACGGGUGAGUAAUGUCUGGGAAACUGCCUGAUGGAUGGGGAUAACUACUGGAAACGGUAGCUAAUACCGCAUACCCUCAGAUGUGCCCAGAUGGGAUUGGCUAGGAGUUGGGGUAACGGCUCACCUAGGCGCCGAUCCCUAGCUGGUCUGAGAGGAUGACCAGCCACACUGGAACUGAGACACGGCCCAGACUCCUACGGGAGGAAGCAUUGGGGAAUAUUGAACAAUGGGCGCAAGCCUGAUGCAGCCAUGCCGCGUGGGUGAAGAAGGCCUGCGGGUUGGAAAGCACUUUCAGCGGGGAGGCGUUACCCGCAGAAGAAGCACCGGCUAACUCCGUGCCAGCAGCCGCGGUAAUAC